CUGUCCAACGUUAAUCGGGGCAGGGUGAGUCGACCCCUAAGGCGAGGCCGAAAGGCGUAGUCGAUGGGAAACAGGUUAAUAUUCCUGUACUUGGUGUUACUGCGAAGGGGGGACGGAGAAGGCUAUGUUGGCCGGGCGACGGUUGUCCCGGUUUAAGCGUGUAGGCUGGUUUUCCAGGCAAAUCCGGAAAACCAAGGCUGAGGCGUGAUGACGAGGCACUACGGUGCUGAAGUGACAAAUGCCCUGCUUCCAGGAAAAGCCUCUAAGCAUCAGGUAACAUCAAAUCGUACCCCAAACCGACACAGGUGGUCAGGUAGAGAAUACCAAGGCGCUUGAGAGAACUCGGGUGAAGGAACUAGGCAAAAUGGUGCCGUAACUUCGGGAGAAGGCACGCUGAUAUGUAGGUGAAGCGACUUGCUCGUGGAGCUGAAAUCAGUCGAAGAUACCAGCUGGCUGCAACUGUUUAUUAAAAACACAGCACUGUGCAAACACGAAAGUGGACGUAUACGGUGUGACGCCUGCCCGGUGCCGGAAGGUUAAUUGAUGGGGUUAGCGGUAACGCGAAGCUCUUGAUCGAAGCCCCGGUAAACGGCGGCCGUAACUAUAACGGUCCUAAGGUAGCGAAAUUCCUUGUCGGGUAAGUUCCGACCUGCACGAAUGGCGUAAUGAUGGCCAGGCUGUCUCCACCCGAGACUCAGUGAAAUUGAACUCGCUGUGAAGAUGCAGUGUACCCGCGGCAAGACGGAAAGACCCCGUGAACCUUUACUAUAGCUUGACACUGAACAUUGAGCCUUGAUGUGUAGGAUAGGUGGGAGGCUUUGAAGUGUGGACGCCAGUCUGCAUGGAGCCGACCUUGAAAUACCACCCUUUAAUGUUUGAUGUUCUAACGUUGGCCCCUAAUCGGGGUUGCGGACAGUGUCUGGUGGGUAGUUUGACUGGGGCGGUCUCCUCCUAAAGAGUAACGGAGGAGCACGAAGGUUGGCUAAUCCUGGUCGGACAUCAGGAGGUUAGUGCAAUGGCAUAAGCCAGCUUGACUGCGAGCGUGACGGCGCGAGCAGGUGCGAAAGCAGGUCAUAGUGAUCCGGUGGUUCUGAAUGGAAGGGCCAUCGCUCAACGGAUAAAAGGUACUCCGGGGAUAACAGGCUGAUACCGCCCAAGAGUUCAUAUCGACGGCGGUGUUUGGCACCUCGAUGUCGGCUCAUCACAUCCUGGGGCUGAAGUAGGUCCCAAGGGUAUGGCUGUUCGCCAUUUAAAGUGGUACGCGAGCUGGGUUUAGAACGUCGUGAGACAGUUCGGUCCCUAUCUGCCGUGGGCGCUGGAGAACUGAGGGGGGCUGCUCCUAGU
rnacentral:rRNA from 1 species